rnacentral:rRNA from 1 species
UACGGAGGGUGCAAGCGUUAUCCGGAUUCACUGGGUUUGAAGGGUGCGUAGGUGGGCAAGUAAGUCAGUGGUGAAAUCUCCGGGCUUAACCCGGAAACUGCCAUUGAUACUAUUUGUCUUGAAUACUGUGGAGGUCAGCGGAAUAUGUCAUGUAGCGGUGAAAUGCUUAGAUAUGACAUAGAACACCAAUUGCGAAGGCCGCUGGCUUCACAAAUAUUGACACUGAGGCACGAAAGCGUGGGGAUCAAACAGG